CAAAGGCACAGGCUGCUGGGGACGGGGCUUUAGGGCCCACCUUGGAUAAGGGCAGGAAAAACCUCAGGAAGACAAUGUUAUAGAGAGCUCAUUUUCACGAGCCUGGAGCUGUGCCCAUCUCUGUCUUUGGUGCCAGCACCAUGGAGGUACCCCCUCUUUGCUGGGUGACCGUCAGGACCCUCUGGAGCAUGUCCGAGGGCUCAAAAUACAAGAGGCUCCUCCAGUGAUGAACCAGCGCCAGCAUAUCCAGGUGCUGCCCAAGAUGAGGUAGAAACAACACAUCUGCCCAUCAGGAAAUAGCACAGUCUUUAGUUCUGGAUCCCGCUUACCUGAGGAUCCCACUUACCUACUUACAUAUCUGCC
rnacentral:lncRNA from 1 species